AAGAAAGUGACUGCCGCCCCGCACAGGGGCAGUGCUAAUAGACCGACGCGAAAACAGGAUUACAUAGAGGCGCAGACACGCAGCGGCGGGCAUCCG
rnacentral:sRNA from 1 species